rnacentral:rRNA from 1 species
GAUGAACGCUAGCGGCAGGCCUAAUACAUGCAAAUCGAACGGUGUCUUCGGACAUAGUGGCGCACGGGUGCGUAACACGUAUGCAACCUACCUUACAUUGGGGGAUAGCCUUUCGAAAGGGAGAUUAAUACCGCAUAAGACAGUAGCUGGGCAUCCAGCAGCUGUUAAAGAUUUAUCGAUGUAAGCUGGGCAUGCGUCCAAUUAGCUAGUUGGUGAGGUAACGGCUCACCAAGGCAAUGAUUGGUAGGGGAACUGAGAGGUCAAUCCCCCACACUGGUACUGAGAUAUGGGCCAGACUCCUACGGGAGGCAGCAGUAGGGAAUAUUGGGCAAUGGACGCAAGUCUGGCCCAGCCAUGCCGCGUGCAGGAUGAAGGCGUUAUGCGUUGUAAACUGCUUUUAUACAGGAAGAAACGACUCUUGCGAGAGGCAUUGACGGUACUGUAUGAAUAAGCACCGGCUAACUCCGUGCCAGCCGCCGCGGUAAAAC